rnacentral:rRNA from 1 species
UACGGAGGGUGCAAGCGUUGUCCGGAUUUAUUGGGUUUAAAGGGUGCGUAGGUGGCCCGUUAAGUCCGGGGUGAAAGCCCACUGCUCAACAGUGGAACUGCCCUGGAUACUGACGGGCUUGAGUCCAGACGAGGUUGGCGGAAUGGAUGGUGUAGCGGUGAAAUGCAUAGAUACCAUCCAGAACCCCGAUUGCGUAGGCAGCUGACUAGGCUGGUACUGACACUGAGGCACGAAAGCGUGGGGAGCAAACAGG